rnacentral:lncRNA from 1 species
UUUUUUUUAUUAAUUACAAACCCUUAGGAUCAAGGUAUGCAAACAAAAGGGAAGAACAGGACGCCAAGGAAGGGGCAGGGGAAUAUAGGUGAGGUGACGAAGGCAGCAUACAUUUUCCUACCAGGGAAUCGUCUGGAACACUAUGGGCCAUUUUUCUUUUUUAUAGAUCCGUUGGGAGUUCCCAUUGUGGCUCAGAGGAAAUGAAUCCGACUAGCAUCAUGAGGAUGCAGGUUGGAUCCCUGGCCUUACUCAGGGGAUUAAGGAACCCACGUUGCUGUAGCUGUAGUGUAGACCAGCAGCUACAGCUCCAAUUCAACCCCUAGCCUGGGAACUUCCAUAUACAUGGGUGUGGCCCUAAAAAGUGGGAAAAAAAAAAAAAAAAGAAAGAAAAAAAAUCCGCUGUUGACUUAAUUCUAGAUACACUGUUUCUAUAGGAGCUGUCCUAAGGAGCUUGCAUUUUGUCAGUUUGUGUGUAGUUUUACAACCCUUCUCAAGGAUUUCUUUUUGCAUCUCUCCUUCAUAGUCUUGAGGUGGGUCUGAGUCUUAGGUCUGGCCCUGCCCCUUGGAACUGUGGGAAAGAACAAAGGACAUCUCCCCCAGGGAUGAGCUGGGGGAAGAGAAGGUGCAGGGCAAAUAACCAAAUGCCCAAUGUGGGAGCAAUUUGCAGCAAUUGCAAGCAAGGAAUGUGGGAACCCAGGAGCCCAAGCCUUCAGGGCUAUCUGUGGGAAGUCACAGCUCUUCAUCAGUGAGGGUGAUCUGGGCAGGACCAAAAGCCCAGGGAGUUCCGUCUGCAGGUGGAGAUGAAGGGCUGAGGGAUGGAGUGGGGUCGGAGAGCAACAGGUCCUACUUUUCCUAUGGCAGGAUGGCAGUUAAUCCACACUACAUCAGGGCUGUGCAGGGAAGAUGCCGUUUAUUUGUUUUGUCUCUAAUUUUGCUGAUCUUCCCCCGAGCCUUCUUCCCCCACCGAUUAGGAGGCCAAAAAGUAACUAACUGUCCAAUCUCAUUUAAAGCUUCAAUAACUUACACAGUCUUUUUGGGUAGAGUUCAGUGUCUCAUGGAUAAAGAGAUCCCUUCUCCUCCUUUUCACUCUAAGGUAGCCUCUGGGAUACAGAGGAAGGGCUAUGUGUGAUUUAUACAAAGGAGGGUCUCAGCUGUACCAUCAGCAUCCUUGGAGGGCCAGCAAGCUUUCCUGUGUCUGCCUGUGGGCUGCUUGCCCUCCUGGCCUUUUCCAGUGAAGCCAGGUUGCUGUUGAAUAUGCAACCUGGCCUCUCUUGGCUUGACCAGAGCUCUCAGCACUUCCAGAUUUGACCCAUCAAUUCCAGAAUUGACCUGGCUCUCCUGUGGCUGUGUGGCCCCUCAGAGGCCCCAGUGCCCGGAUUCCACUCUGCAGCCCUGGCUACAGAAUCACCCUUCCCAGUGAUAACUCUGGUCUCUCUCCCAGCAGUUUCUUUUUAGUAGCCCGGUUGUUACAAAAGCUCACUGUUUCAUUGCUUCAUUUUAUAACUGGGCUAAAUGUCAGCCUUGGGGGAAGGGAGGCAGAGAACCCAUCUACUAUUAAGGCUACUCAAAUAAUGAGAAACAAGGCCCCCAAAUUCCUCUGCAUUGACCGAUGCUUCAGACCAAAGUGUUGGAACUGACCGGUUGUCCUGGCAUCUGGUGGCGAUGGCGUUUUUUUUGUUUUUUGUUUUUUUUUGGCCAAUCUGGAAACCUGAGCGGUCUUUUAUUUCCAACCCUCUCAACUCUGCUCUCAAUGAGUAUGGAAAGUGUUGCAUGUGGAAAUUGCCUGGGCGACUGGGGGAAAGGUUGCCAAAAGAGAAACUUUCCAGUUCUUAGCUUUCAAAGUGUGCACUGUGCCAUAUGUCAUGAGGUAAUACGGAUUCUCUGAAUGGGGGCGCCACCGCCAAUGAAAGCAGCGACUCAACAGUCGGCAAAUACAGUUCUAGUCAGUAAUCAGAGGCAAAAGAAGAAUUCCUAAGAAAGAGCAAAGGCACAGGCAACCAGAAGCAGCACAAAAUGGAGGGGAGCUGCCCUCGGGCCCAGAGCUUCGUUUUGUUUAGGAGGGGAAAAUAGGCUUGAAAGUGUUCCUGAAGGAGCAGUCUUCGUGUUAACUGAUACCAUCUGGAAAUCAACAAAAUUCAGAUUUUAUUUUUACAGAUUUGUACCAAAACCCAGUUCCAGCCAGGGAACCUCAAAUCUCCGAAGCCUCCAACAGGGCACUGAGAUAUAAAUAAUCAGUUAGCAAAAGCCGCCUUCAAAAAUGACAGGCGAAGGUUGUUGUCUUCUCCUCUGUAUUUAAAUCAAGAGAUGAGGUGAGAUGUGACCAAGUGCAUGGAGAUAUGAUAGUCUGGUGAUGCAUUUUUCGUCAUUUUUAACCCAUAGAUACCAGCCUCAGAACAGGCAGAUUUUAUCUUCGAGACCCUUCAUUCCCCUUAAGUAUCCCCUGUCCUCACUCUGACCCCCUUGUCCCCUCUCUGCUUCCUCCCCCCAUCACAGUUCUCUCAGCAGAUAAUGAUUUAAUGGAUUCGUUAGUCUUUUUCCUCAGCUACCCUAACUUUUCCCCAUAUUUGCUUUUUAUUUAUUUAUUUUUCUUUUAAAGCCAAACCUGUUGCAUAUGGAAGUUCCCAGGCUACAGGUCUAAUCAGAGCUGCAGCUGCCGGCCUACACCACAGCCACAGCAACGCCAGAUCUGAGCCGUGUCUGCAAUCUACACCACAGUUCACGAUAACGCCAGACCCUCAACCCGCUGAGCAAGGCCAGGGAUCGAACCUGCAUCUUCAUGGAUAUUAGUCGGGUUUAUAACCACAACAGAAACUCCCAUAUUUGCAUUUUUUAAAAAAUUUAUGGCUGCAUUUGCAGCAUGUGGAAGUUCCUGGGCCAGGGAUUGAAUCUGAGCCACAGCUGCAACACCAGACCUUUUAAACCAUUGUGCCAGUGCAGGAAUCAAACCUGCAUCUCUGCAGCAACCUGAAUAGUAAUGCUUCUAAAAGGAGUUGUCUGAAUUGUGGGAACUUUAAGCAGUAACAUGGAGGUCUUGGACCGGUAGGGUAAAGGGAAGGAGCUGCAUUUUGCAUUUGGAGAGUUGGUACAUUUCUUAAAUCACUGUUCUGCAGACUGUCGCCACCUGCACGUGACCAUUCUGGUAUGAGGCCGGCUGGAGCUUACCUUGGCUGGGCCUUGCAUCUCCUUCCACAUCCUGGCAGGUGUGAGCAGGAAGAGCUGUGAAAGUCUUGCUUUCCUGGAUAGCACAGGCCAUGAACUAGUCUACGUUGGUGGCCGAGAGCAAUUAGGGCAGAUUUCCCUGGGUAACUGGGUGAAAAGUAGGCCCCAUGAAUAAUUCUCUGCCUGCAUGUGGCCAUCUCCAAACAGAUUUCUGAGCCAGAACACUACAGCUUCUCAGAGAGUCCCCUGUGCCUGGUUUCUUUCUCUGGCCCUGCUCGGAAGUGAGAUUCAGCGUGAUCAUAGUUCCAUGGCUGCUCAGAUGUACUUUGGUGCUUCCAGCUGCUCCACACUGGCCCGUAAGGUCAUUCUCGUGCUAGGCCAGGUCUCAGGCUUGUUAAUUAGAUGGAAAGUCAAGACAGACAGGAUACAAAUUUUCCUAGAAAGACACCAGCAUGGCGUGACAUCAGGACUGUUUCCAACUUUCAGUGGUGAUUAUGGCCUCUGCCCUUUCCUGCUUCCUGAGGACAACAGUCCAACACGACUUUCAGCACAAUUAGAAUGAACUGUUUCAGCCAGUGUUAAAGGGGUGGGGUGUGGGCCUUAGAACCACAAAGCACUGAUUUUUCACUGAUUUCUCAAGCUGAUGCUCAUGCAAACCUGCAGUUGGGAAUACACGGAAUUUCCUAGUUUUAGUUUUAUUUGUACGCAGGGUGUAUUUGCAUGAUAUUUUAUUGUUGGCAAGCACUUUCACAUUCAUGGCCUCAUUUGAGCCUGACCAGAAUCAUUUGAGGUAGAUUAGGUGGGGGUCAAUCCUUCCCUUAGAUGAGUGAAGAGAGUCGAAACUCAGAGGGCUCCCAAAGGUAGCAGUGAAAAGGUAGGAGGGAUUCCUGGUUUCCUGAAUCCUAGACCCUAUUUCUGUUGUAUCAAAUCAUCUUUCAUUAAGACCCAGAGAGAACUGUGGGUUGGUCAAUCUGUUGAAAAGGACAUGUGCCUCUUUUCUGUCCAGCAUCCCUUCCUAUGAGAAUCACCACACCCCCAUUUCAUCAGUCCCUAACUGAAGGGAUAGAGCUAAAGUCUGACCCAAUCGGAGUAUUCUGUUACCUCCCCCUGACACUAUAAUUGGCUCAGGUAUGAGCACAUGACCUAAGCUGGCCAAUCACAGCCUUCCCUGGGCCUUUUGUUAAAGAGUUUGGGAAGGUGCACUCUCUUUUUUUUUGGGUCUUUGCUGAAUGAAGCAAGAGUCUGACUGGGAAUGAAGGCGAGCAGAGGGAACCAGAGCUGAGAGAUGGAGUCCUGAAUGUUAUUAUUUAAACCAUUCAUCCAGCUGUGACUGAAACUCUUCUGUGAGCCAAUAAAUUCCUUUUUUGCUUAAGCCAAUUGCAGUUGUUUUUAUGACACUUGCAAAUGAAAGGAGUUAUUGACUAAUAAAACUGCCGUUCCUGUCUUUCCCAGAAUUAGGAAAUUACCUUUUUAAAAUUGUUUAUUUGUAAUAUGCUUUAGUCCUUCCCAUACACAAAAAAUUCUGAGGCAGCUUAUAAAAACAAAUUGGAAAAAUAGGCAAUAAGCCAAAAAAAAAAAAUCAAAGGGAAAAUUUAAUAAAUUAAAUACGUCAUAUGUAUACAUAUAACACAAUCUUUCUAUUAUGUUGACAAAAUUGUUUUUAAAAUUAUAAUACCAAGUAUUAUUGAGGGUGCUGGGAAAUAGACACUGGUGAUGGAAAAAUUAUAAACUAAUGCAAACUUUCUAGAGAGAAAUUUGGCAAUGCUUAUUCAUAUCCAGUUCUUGUUCAUAACUAACAAUUGGAAUAUACCUAGGAAGGACAUAAUUAAAUAAAAAAGAAAGCAUGUAAAUAUUUAGCUAUAAAUGAGUUCCUGCUGUGGCACAAUAGGAUUGGUGUUGUCUCUGCAGCACCAGGACACAGGUUUGAUCCCCAGCCUGGCACAGUGAAGUUAACGAAUCCCAAGUUGCCACAGCUGCAGU